rnacentral:rRNA from 1 species
AGCAGCCGCGGUAAUUCCAGCUCCAAUAGCGUAUAUUAAAGUUGUUGCAGUUAAAAAGCUCGUAGUUGAAUUUCGGGAUCAGUACGCUGGUCGUGCCUUCGGUAUGAACUGGUGUCACUGGUUCCUCCCUUCUGAAGAACCGUCAUGCCAUUCAGUUGGUGUGGCGGGGAAUCAGGACUGUUACUUUGAAAAAUUAGAGUGUUUAAAGCAGGCUCGCGCUUGAAUACAUUAGCAUGGAAUAAUGAAAUAGGACGUUUGACCCUAUUUUGUUGGUUUCUAGGAUCGACGUAAUGAUUAAUAGGGAUAGUUGGGGGCAUUAGUAUUCAAUUGUCAGAGGUGAAAUUCUUGGAUUUAUUGAAGACUAACUACUGCGAAAGCAUUUGCCAAGGAUGUUUUCAUUAAUCAAGAACGAAAGUUAGGGGAUCGAAGACGAU